rnacentral:rRNA from 1 species
GACGUAGGAGGCGAGCGUUGUCCGGAUUCAUUGGGCGUAAAGAGCGCGCAGGCGGCUUGGUAAGUCGGAUGUGAAAUCCCGAGGCUCAACCUCGGGUCUGCAUCCGAUACUGCCCGGCUAGAGGUAGGUAGGGGAGAUCGGAAUUCCUGGUGUAGCGGUGAAAUGCGCAGAUAUCAGGAGGAACACCAGUGGCGGAAGGCGGUGCUCUGGGCCGGAACUGACGCUGAGGCACGAAAGCGUGGGGAGCAAACAGG